UACGUAGGGUGCGAGCGUUAAUCGGAUUUACUGGGCGUAAAGCGUGCGCAGGCGGCACUUUAAGACAGGUGUGAAAUCCCUGAGCUCAACCUAGGAAUUGCGCUUGUGACUGGCGGGCUCGAGUACGGUAGAGGGGGGUGGAAUUCCUGGUGUAGCAGUGAAAUGCGUAGAGAUCAGGAGGAACACCGAUGGCGAAGGCAGCCCCCUGGGCCUGUACUGACGCUCAUGCACGAAAGCGUGGGGAGCAAACAGG
rnacentral:rRNA from 1 species